GAGUUUGAUCAUGGCUCAGAUUGAACGCUGGCGGCAUGCCUUACACAUGCAAGUCGAACGGCAGCACGGGGGCAACCCUGGUGGCGAGUGGCGAACGGGUGAGUAAUACAUCGGAACGUGUCCUGUAGUGGGGGAUAGCCCGGCGAAAGCCGGAUUAAUACCGCAUACGAUCUGCGGAUGAAAGCGGGGGCUCCUUCGGGACCUCGCGCUACAGGGGCGGCCGAUGGCAGAUUAGCUAGUUGGUGGGGUAAAGGCCUACCAAGGCGACGAUCUGUAGCUGGUCUGAGAGGACGACCAGCCACACUGGGACUGAGACACGGCCCAGACUCCUACGGGAGGCAGCAGUGGGGAAUUUUGGACAAUGGGCGAAAGCCUGAUCCAGCAAUGCCGCGUGUGUGAAGAAGGCCUUCGGGUUGUAAAGCACUUUUGUCCGGAAAGAAAACCUCGUGGUUAAUACCCGUGGGGGAUGACGGUACCGGAAGAAUAAGCACCGGCUAACUACGUGCCAGCAGCCGCGGUAAUACGUAGGGUGCAAGCGUUAAUCGGAAUUACUGGGCGUAAAGCGUGCGCAGGCGGUCCGCUAAGACAGAUGUGAAAUCCCCGGGCUUAACCUGGGAACUGCAUUUGUGACUGGCGGGCUAGAGUAUGGCAGAGGGGGGUAGAAUUCCACGUGUAGCAGUGAAAUGCGUAGAGAUGUGGAGGAAUACCGAUGGCGAAGGCAGCCCCCUGGGCCAAUACUGACGCUCAUGCACGAAAGCGUGGGGAGCAAACAGGAUUAGAUACCCUG
rnacentral:rRNA from 1 species